GUGCUCACUUCAGCAACACAUAUACAAAAAUUGGAACGAUACAGAGAAGAUUAGCAUGGCCCCUGCGCAAGGAUGGCAAAUUUGUGAAGUGUUCCAUAUAUAU